rnacentral:lncRNA from 1 species
UCCUGAGGGUUUGCCUGCUCAGGUCAUGGGUACUCUGAUAACAGAAGGGGAGUAUUAACAUCACAGAUACACAUAAACUAAUGGGAAGGAGCUCCCUCUGAAAACCACAGUGGACAGCUACCAUGUUCUAGAUGCCCAUUUUAGUUCUUCAGAAAGCACAGCAGUCUCUUCUGGAUUCAGAACUCCAUCUCCAGCAUCAUGAUCUACAGAGAACCCAACACAAGACAAAAUAAGCAAACACCGUCUUCUGAAAUUCAGGUUGCUUCUUUUAAACCGCCUUAGGUCAUGUCAGCUCUGUGUUCCUGAGUGUCAAGGCUGAGCGGCUACACUGAAGCUGAAGCAGACCCAGCUGGCAGUGACAGAGCCGUCUCUGUCUGUGCACUAGCGUGCUCUCAGGAGUUGUUAGGACUUCCAGCCCUCCUUUUCUCCAGUUCAAGAAACAGAUGUGGAAGUCUCAGCUACUUCUCCAGCACCUCUCCUGCUUCCAUGCUGUCAUUUUUCUGGCCAUGAUGAUAAUGGACUGAACCUCUGAACAUGUAAGCCAGCCCCAAUUAAAUGUUGUCCUUUAU